CCUACGGGAUGCAGCAGUGGGGGAUAUUGCACAAUGGGGGGAACCCUGAUGCAGCGACGCCGCGUGGGUGAAGAAGCGCCUCGGCGCGUAAAGCCCUGUCAGCAGGGAAGAAAAUGACGGUACCUGAAGAAGAAGCCCCGGCUAACUACUGGCCAGCAGCCGCGGUAAUACGUAGGGGGCAAGCGUUCUCAGGAUUUACGGGGUGUAAAGGGGGCGCAGAGGGGGGUGCAAGCCAGGGGUGAAAGCGCGGGUCGCAACCCCGGGACUGCUCGUGGACCUGCGUGGCUGGAGGGCAGGAGGGGCAGGCGGAAUUCCUGGUGUAGCGGUGAAAUGCGUAGAUAUCAGGAGGAAUACCGGUGGCGAAGGCGGCCUGCUGGACUGCAACUGACGUUGAGGCCCGAAAGGGUGGGGAGCAAACAGGAUUAGAUACCCGAGUAGUC
rnacentral:rRNA from 1 species